rnacentral:rRNA from 1 species
AGUGAACGCUGGCGGUAGGCCUAACACAUGCAAGUCGAACGGCAGCACAGUAAGAGCUUGCUCUUACGGGUGGCGAGUGGCGGACGGGUGAGGAAUACAUCGGAAUCUACUUUUUCGUGGGGGAUAACGUAGGGAAACUUACGCUAAUACCGCAUACGACCUACGGGUGAAAGCAGGGGAUCUUCGGACCUUGCGCGUUUGAAUGAGCCGAUGUCGGAUUAGCUAGUUGGCGGGGUAAAGGCCCACCAAGGCGACGAUCCGUAGCUGGUCUGAGAGGAUGAUCAGCCACACUGGAACUGAGACACGGUCCAGACUCCUACGGGAGGCAGCAGUGGGGAAUAUUGGACAAUAGGCGCAAGCCUGAUCCAGCCAUACCGCGUGGGUGAAGAAGGCCUUCGGGUUGUAAAGCCCUUUUGUUGGGAAAGAAAAGCAGCAGGUUAAUACCCCGCUGUUCUGACGGUACCCAAAGAAUAAGCACCGGCUAACUUCGUG